rnacentral:rRNA from 1 species
CCUACGGGUGGCAGCAGUGAGGAAUAUUGGUCAAUGGGCGGAAGCCUGAACCAGCCAAGUCGCGUGCAGGAUGACGGCCCUACGGGUUGUAAACUGCUUUUACCCGGGAGUAAAGCGCCGCACGUGUAGGGCUUGGCAAGUACCGGAAGAAAAAGCAUCGGCUAACUCCGUGCCAGCAGCCGCGGUAAUACGGAGGGUGCGGGCGUUAUCCGGAUUUAUUGGGUUUAAAGGGUGCGUAGGCGGCAUGUCAAGUCAGCUGUGAAAUGUCCGGGCUCAACCCGGGCCUUGCAGGGGAAACUGGCGGCCUUGAGUGCGCGGAAAGCAGGCGGAAUGCGUGGUGUAGCGGUGAAAUGUUUAGAUAUGACGAAGAACCCCGAUUGCGAAGGCAGCGUGCUGGAGCGCAACUGACGCUGAUGCACGAAGGCGUGGGUAUCGAACAGGAUUAGAUACCCGAGUAGUC